CCCCGUUGCCGUCAGCCCCAGCUAGAGGUGACCAUAUAGAAACGAAGGGGUGAACUUGGAGUAGGUAGAAAGAAGGCUGCAUCCUGGUAUUCAGUGUGUACUCGUGCUCGAAUGCUCCGGGAAGACGGAGAGGAUACAAUGGGGAUGGACCCAGCGGCUCCAUGAGAGCCUCCUCCGGGAACUGUGGUUAACGCCCUCCGCAGUGUACGUGAACCCUCAGUAUUGGAACACGAUGGAUUAUUCCAGAACGACCGCCUCCUACCCUCUAAUGGUACCUUCCGAGUGAAUGGUCUUACCUCCGGCCCUGUCAGUGGGAAGGUGAGAGUUCCAUUCCAUACAUCAGGAGUCAAGCAGGGUGUUUGAUCCAGAGACACAGAAACAUAUCCUGACGCUCUGCCUGUUGGAUCCUAUGUAUUUAUCUCAUAGACAAGUGCCUUUUUGGAGAACUCUUUUUUCCCCCUGCAAAGGGGGGAGAGGAGGGAAGGGAGCUUGGGUCCAGCUGUCCUCUCUUACCUUCUUUUGCAAGCCCUUCUUUCCUCAUCGCUGUUCCUCUGCCAUCUCCAGCGACCUCACCAGAACAAUCCUUUCUCCAGAGGGCCUUAAAAGGACAUUGGUUGGAGGCUAAGGGCAAAUCAAGAACAGCAGGAGCCCAGGUCAACAUCUCUGUGUUCAAGAGAAAGUCGGAGAUCCUUAGCCUGGCAUUCAGUGUGUAGCUCAUGCUGGAAGAGCAUCCCUCAUCCAGGCCACAAUAAAUUGCUUCUACCAUGCUCCGAUUUCACCUUGCCUUCUGGGACCCUCAACCCUUUGUACAAGCUGUUUCACUUGCCUAGGCGCUAUUUUUUAUUUCAUCAAAAUGUGCAUGGCUGUAAUUUUAUGCCUUGGCUUUAUUAUGAACACUUUACAAAUAUUACCUCAUUUAUCUUCCCAACUCUAUGUUGUAAGCACUAUUAUUACCUCAUUUAAUAGCUAAGGACCUUAAGGAGUUCCCUGGUGACCUAGUGGUUAAGGAUUCGAUGUUGUCACUCUGUGGCUCGGGUUUGAUCCCUGAUGUGGGAACUUCCUCAUGCCAUAGGC
rnacentral:lncRNA from 1 species